GAUGAACGCUGGCGGCGUGCUUAAUACAUGCAAGUCGAACGAAGCACCUUGGACAGAAUCCUUCGGGAGGAAGACCAUUGUGACUGAGUGGCGGACGGGUGAGUAACGCGUGGGUAACCUGCCUUGUACAGGGGGAUAACAGUUGGAAACGACUGCUAAUACCGCAUAAGCGCACAGUACCGCAUGGUACGGUGUGAAAAACUCCGGUGGUACAAGAUGGACCCGCGGCUGAUUAGCUGGUUGGUGAGGUAACGGCCCACCAAGGCGACGAGCAGUAGCCGACUUGAGAGAAUGAUCGGCCACAUUGGGACUGAGACACGGCCCAAACUCCUACGGGAGGCAGCAGUAGGGAAUAUUGCACAAUGGGGGAAACCCUGAUGCAGCGACGCCGCGUGAAGGAAGAAGUAUUUCGGUAUGUAAACUUCUAUCAGCAAGGAAGAAAAUGACGGUACUUGACUAAGAAGCCCCGGCUAAAUACGUGCCAGCAGCCGCAGUAACAC
rnacentral:rRNA from 1 species